GAGGAAAGCCACAUACCAGCCUGCUUUGAGGAAGCCCUGGGUUUUCAUCACUGGGUGCAGCUUUUUGCCUUGAAACUGAGCUGUUUCGCUUCCAGCUUGUGGAGACUGGCUAGGAGAUCUGAGAAAGUUAGGAUGACCUGGGAAGAUUGCCAACAGUUCCUGGCCUCCUUCUUCAUGGCUGAGGAGUGGAAAAGGAUCAAGCUUGAAUGCAGGAAAGCUGCCUUCUGGCUGGGUGGUGGAUUGAUAGUGGACAGUGCAGCUCCAAUGGAGACAAUUUUCCCCUCUGCCUGACCUGACAGUUUGGAUCCCCAAACUAACAAAGAGGUAUCCUGAGAGUACCCUGCUACAGUAUGUGAAUGAACUCUUUAAAGCCUUGGAAACAAAGGAGGAGUGUAAGAAGGCCACUGAAGUCCUGUUAGAGACACUAAAGGCAGCCCUAUGGUACCAAGUCUCAGCCAACAAGAUCCAACUUUGUGCAUCCUGUGUCACCUACUUGGGGUGUAACUUGGAAGAAGACAAACAAAUGUCCCAAAGCCAAAUCUUGGCAAUCCUAUGGAUCUCUGCACCUAAAGCAAAGGAACAAGUACAGGAAUUUCUGGGACCAGUUAGGUAUUGUGGACACCUAGGUUCAUGGAGGCAGCCAAGUCAUUGUAUACUACAACUGAUGACACCCUGCUGCUACAAUGGACUGAUUCCUAACAAGGAACUUUAGAGGACUUGAAGAAAGAUCUCAUCUCUACUCUGGCCAUAACCCUCUUGGAUGUCUCUAAGUCCUACUAUUUGUACAUGAAUGAGGCCCAAGGAUUGCCAAAGGGAUCCUUGUACAAGCACUGAGACCCUGGAGGAGGCCAGUGGCCUACCUAUCCAAAAGGCUUGAUUCUGCAGGUUGGAUGGCUUGUUUGUGGGCAUUCACCACUACAGACAUGCUGGUAAAAGAAGCUGACAAACUGACCUUGGGCCAGGAACUAUUUCUAACCACCUCUCACUGGGUAGAGGCACCCCAGAGAGGGGGAUAUCCAACACCCAAAUAAGACUAUCAAUGACUUCUCCUGGAACAGGCCUGUAUCUGACUGUAAAACUUUAGCUAUCAACCCAGCCAUCAUACAGCCAGAUGACAAACCAAUAGAGCCACUCUGUGAUUGUCUGGGAGUGACUGAAGUGAUCCAAUCCAUCAGAUCUGACCUAUCAGAUGUCCUGCUGUGAGAAGUAGAAGAGGUACUGUACACAGAUGUGAGUAGUUUUGUUCAGAAUGGAGUCAGAUAUGUCAGUGACAGUUGUCACCUUGGAUAGGACAGUGUGGACCCAGUCCCUUAGCUGCAGGACUUGAGAAUUAAUGUAGGCACUUCACUGGGGGAAGGGCAAAGCUAUCACUGUAUACAUGGUGUGCAUUUACCAUGGCCCAUGUCCAUGGGGCCCUCUGUCAAGUAAGGGCACUCAUCACCUAGCCUAGAAAGAAAAUCUAAAACAAAGAAGAAAUUCUGGCCCUACUAGAGGCCAUAUGGUUACCAAAAGAAGUACCCAUUGCAAAGGGCACCAAAAAGGGGAUUCUCUGGAGACACAAGGAAACAGGGCAGCAGACUUGACCGGGAGACCUGUACUCCUUGCUGCUAUCAGAAGACAAAUGGUCACCAAACUCUACCAGGCCACCUAUCUGAGGGCACCCAAAACUGCUGAGUUACUCUGGCCCAGAUAUUGUAUACCUCAACUAGACAAUCUUGUGAAAGACAUAGUGUUCAGAUGUACCACUUGUACAAAAGUGAACCCCAAAGGAGGAAGAAAAGCCCCAGAAGGAUCUGUGCCUGAGGAAGCACCCCUGGAGAGCAUCCAACCUAUCACUAUUGGGCAUAAGUAUUUGUUUGUUUUCAUAGACAUUCUCUGAAUGAGUAGAAGCCUAGCCUACAUGAAUGGAGACAGCAUCAGUGGUCACCAAGAAACUCCUUCAAGGGUUGAUUCCUAGGUUUUGCCUGCCUCUCUCCCUGGGGUCUGAUAAUGGCCUAGUGUGCAUGGCCAAAGUUUCCCCAAAUCUGACAAGGAUACUAAAUUUUGAUUGGGAACUAUAUUUUGUGCCUAUAUGCCACAAAACUUAGGAAAAUAGAAAGGAUGAAUAAAAUCCUGAAGGGAACUUUA